AUUGAACGCUGGCGGCAGGCUUAACACAUGCAAGUCGAGCGGGGUGAUGGUGCUUGCACUAUCACUUAGCGGCGGACGGGUGAGUAAUGCUUAGGAAUCUGCCUAUUAGUGGGGGACAACAUCUCGAAAGGGAUGCUAAUACCGCAUACGUCCUACGGGAGAAAGCAGGGGAUCACUUGUGACCUUGCGCUAAUAGAUGAGCCUAAGUCGGAUUAGCUAGUUGGUGGGGUAAAGGCCUACCAAGGCGACGAUCUGUAGCGGGUCUGAGAGGAUGAUCCGCCACACUGGGACUGAGACACGGCCCAGACUCCUACGGGAGGCAGCAGUGGGGAAUAUUGGACAAUGGGGGGAACCCUGAUCUAGCCAUGCCGCGUGUGUGAAGAAGGCCUUAUGGUUGUAAAGCACUUUAAGCGAGGAGGAGGCUCUUUUGGUUAAUACCCAGAAUGAGUGGACGUUACUCGCAGAGUAAGCACCGGCUAACUCUGUGCCAGCCGCCGCGGUAAAAC
rnacentral:rRNA from 1 species